CCUGGAGGCAGCUCUUACCAGCCACCUCCAGGACGAUGUGGCUCAGACACAACCACCUCGUUGCUGAGCACUGUGGGUUUUUUCAGCAACCAGGCAGCCUGUGUAAACCACACAGAGCGGGGGCAGAGCCUGCAAGGAGCUGAGGUAAUCAUUUUUACAUUAACUAUCUGGCAAAGAUGUGGGCUGCAGACAGGGAGAAGGGAUGCAGAGCGAGGAAGGAGCUGCAGAAAAUGACAGUGAAAAAUGAAGAAACAGUCUUUUAAAGGAAAUCCAGUGUUCCUUGGAAAGGUAUGACACUGCAGGAAGACUGAAGGCAGAGAAGGGAAGGCAGAAAGGCUGCACAUCUGCAUUCUGCACAUUUAGUUCUAAUGUACUCUUUUGCCUUUAUCUUCUUUGUUGCUGUUUUUCAGGCCAGCUGCAAAACUUUUGCAAAAGACUCCCACUUCCACAGCAAACCAAAAAGUCAGGGUACAGUGGUGGUGCGUCUUAUCUGUGAAUAUUUUUUUCUAUUUUGUUUUUCUGAGAUCAGCUGCUGAGGAAAUAAAGCCCCAUGCAAUUUCCAGCAAUGAAAAGUGGAUCAGUUCCUUUGCUUAGGAAAAAAAAACAACCUCAUUUUCAUAUUUCCAUAUUUAAUUUUUGCACUUGCAUGUACGUUUCUGUUAUCUUCCAGCCACAUGUUGCUAUUUGUCUCUGUAGUGAAGGAUUUUUUUCAGUUUUUUUUUUUUUUUUUUUAGACUGUGGGCUAUGUGAAGCCUGACUUGAAUGUAAAAGAUCCACAGGGGAAAAAUCUUCCAGUCUUCACUGAAUUAAAAAGAGCUUGCAUGCCACAGGUUUUGUGGGAGUACUCUACACUCAUCAUCCCCUUGGGUGGCUCAUGGAUCAGGCACGGAGCACCGUGCACCUACAGACCAAUGUAGGUGCAUCUUGUGGCCAUUGCAAAGCCCCACACCAGAUCUACAGACCUGGGAAAUGGGAAGCUGAAAAAAAUUAGCAGACACUCACUUCUUUCACUCACUUCUUCUUUAGUUUAGCCAACUAAACACUGUUUAACACUCAGCUGGUAACUGCAGCUUCCACAGAGUACAACUACCCAAACUCAGGCAGAAGGAGAGCUCGGAGAUUUAUGAGACCAUUCCAGGCAAUUUCGCUGCAUUUAGGCUGUUUAUGUUAGUCACCCCUCAGCUAUCUGCCCUUCAAUGAGAUUCAGGUUUUUAAGAUAUUUGGGUGCUUUUGAAAAGGUUACAUGCAGUCAAAAGCAGCAGCCAAGGCUCCUGCACUCAGCCAGAGCUGGGAGGCAGCUCAGCCUUACCAUACAUCUUAACCCAGCAGCAGCAGUGCUUGGACAGACAUCCUUUCUGUUGUGCUUGCUGGCAGACACGAUUUCAGACAGACUCUGGUUAUGAUUAAGUUUUGGUCUACAUGUUCAAUGCUCAGUCAAAAUUCUUGUGCAGCCAACACAACACAUGACUGCCUUCAAUAGGAGAGAGAGUAAAUGCGAUGUUUUCAGUUUGAACAAUAUUUCAGUUGCUGUUUUGUCAGUGGACCAUGGCCACUCAUGAACUGCUCCAAUUUGGUCCCAGACUGCACACAGCUCUGGUUUGUCCACAUAAAGUGUAUUCAAGGAAUUAGCACUGCAAAUUGGCAGAAGGGACACACCUCCAGCUCCUGUGUGUCACUGUUGCUUCUGGUACCACCACGGGACUGCCAAACCCACCAGUGCUCCUGCUCUCUCACAGGCAAGCUCUGCAUCUGCAGCAGGGAAAAAUGUUUAACACAAGGGGUUUUUACAGCCUUGAUGACAAACUUGGAACUCAAAAAACACAACAGUGACAACAGUGCAUAUUGUGUUGGUAUUGACCCCCUUCCCAUCUCAUCCUUAGCUUUCUGUAUCUCCAUAUUUACAAGUCUCCCCUCCCCUCCAGGCGCCAACUGCAGUUCCCAGUGCAUGGGAAGUGACUAUUGACAAUGUAUGAAGACUGUGAUAUCUUCUGUGGGAAUUGACAGGUUUUGAACUUAAAGAGGCUAUGAGUGGAAUCAGUCUGUAAGACAGACUCUGGAAAGCAUUUGAAAAUGAAGGACAAUGAAUGGGCGUUUAUGCUGCUUCUUCAACUUCCAAAGGUACCUGAAACUAAUAUUGCAUUAUCACUAUAAGUAUUAAACAUUAUAAAGACACAGAAUUACUGUUUCUAGUCUAAGGGGGCGGGGGGGGGAAAGUGUGGUUUUCUUUUUUCUUCUGGGUGGAAAGUGUUUGUGUGCCAUUUGGCAGCUUAAAGGUUUAACUAGUCUAUUGCUAUGAAAAUAUUGAAAUUCAGCCAAAGACAUCCUGGUAUUACACACUUUUCUCCUGAAUCUCUUCAUUUUCCUUCUGGAGCAGUUAACAUAAAAUUUCUUGGUUAAGAUAAACUUUCCUCUUGGAAAAGAUUAUCUGUCUUCAAAGUUACAAGUUAAACAACUGAGUGGUCUAAUUGAUUGAACAUUUACAAAUUAUAAUUAAAUUUGUGCCAAACUGUGUGAAAAAGAUUUAUGCUCCGCUUCCCAUACUGUUUAUCCCUCACUUUUUUUUGUGUGUGUGUGCAUGUGUGAACUGAAUCUUUGGGAACUUCUUUCACUUGAUGUAUCAUUGAGGUGGUUAAACACAUUGCAUUAUGGCAGUCUGUCACAUCAGUGUUUCAAACUGAAAUACUGGACUUGACAUAUCCCUGGAAAAGGAAGUCAGAGCAUCCAAAAUCCAGAGUUAUGUUUCUUUUGAAACUUGAGAUUCUGAAGUCAGAAUUUUCACUUAACUCCAGCUGCAGCGGAGGAAAAAAAAAAAGGAAGAAAAAAAAAAAGGUUUAAUUAAUUAUAAUGCAGCUUUUUUUUUAACCAUUAAAAAGAUUUUUUAUUAAAAUAAUAGUGUGUUGAUUGUCCUGCUUGUGAAUGACGACAACCAACUCUCUGUAAAUACCCAUAUUUAUUUUGGUGAACCUCUGUGAAGUAAUUGGGGAAGAACAAUAAAGGGCACAGAAUCUGAGUCUCCAGCAAAAAAAAUGCAACACAUUGCCAUAUUUCUGUGCAAUAAUUUACUGAAUAUGAGGAGUCCAAAAGCACGAGAACUCUUAUCUGAGCCCUUGAUGAUGGUGAAAAUUUAGCCAAUGAACAUUCUUGGGAGAAUAUUUCUUUCAAUAGGAUGCGAUCUAAGAUGAAGAGCUGUAAUAGUUUUGGGACUGUAUCUUAUAUUUCCAAAAGAAGAAUUGCAAGUCCAUUGAAAUGCAAAACUUAACUUCUGGAAUUGUACAGAAUAUACUCCAAAUCAGUGGCUUCAUCAACAAAGGCUUUCAUGUUGACCUCUGCUCUACACAAACUUAAAUCUGUUUUACAUCAGAAGCUGCAGGGACGGAAGAGUACAUGGGAAAAGAAAAUGUCUGGGAGUUUAGAGAGGACCAGCUAAAUUUUUUGAGCUCCAGUGGGAUUGGUGACAUAACUAAAAAGCAACAAACAGCAGGCUAAAAAAUAUGACAUAUGUGGAUGUUCCUUCUGCAAAGGAUGUGAAGUCAGAAAUCCAGGGGUCUGUGGCUGUUCCUCUGCUACAUGGAGAGUGUUUACAUACCUUCACCUUGUGUUUAAUGAUUCACCUUGUAUGGGCUGAAUUAUUUUCCAAAUAUUUCUGUUUUCCCCUAGAGGAAAGAGUCUUGAUGACAGUUCUAAUCUAAGACCUAAUUUAGGUACCAGGCUGGUGUUUUGAAGGAGACAGAGUUAGAUCAAAUUGCACUAAAUUUAUCAGGUGAAGAUCUAAGUGUUUCUGUUUAGUGAGAUGCAGAAAUUUGUGCCAUUAAUGUUAGCUAUUUGACAGUGGUUUCUUUUCGUUACAUGAAAGAGAAAAUGGAGCCAGUUCAUUAUGAAGAUAGUGAAAGUUUUAAUAAGGCAAAUACAGGCUGAAUUCUACUAGUGCAUGUGGGGAAAGUAAUGUAAAAAAUACAACAUCAAAGAAAGAUGAGCAGGGAAUGAAGAACAGGGGAAACAUGUAAUGAGCUGAAUCAGACUGAAGUCUAAGAUAAUUGAUUAAAGAUUGCAGCACUUGGGAAAUGCUAUCCUACAGCAGGAGUAGAAAAUGGAUUGAAAUGAAUGGGACCCAGUCAAUCUGUAACCACAUUGCAAGGGCCAAGAUCAUUUCCUCCAUUUUCAGGUGUAGAAGCUGAGGCUCUGAAUAGAGCUGGCAAUGAUGGUCUCACCUGGAACAGAUCUGCUCAGUCUGGGAUCAGAUCUGACCCAACUUGUUCUUUGCCCAAAAAUCUCUUCUGAAUAUUUUUUGUUUUAACUCUGGGCUAGAGGGAACUUAAUAACCUGUCAGUGUGAAAUAAUUAACUUUCCUAACUGCAAAGAGUGGGGCUUGUGGCCGUUCUUGCUGUUUGUACAGUGUUAAAUAAGCCAGUUGAUCAAUGGGGCUCUGAUGAUUUAUUAACAUCAUGCUGCCAAUAAGAACACACGCUGGAACUUAGGAUGGCUCAAACUUAAUUUUAAAAUACGGAAGGAAAUCUCAAAUCUUUCAAGGAAUUAUAGAACUGGUUGUAUAUUUGUAAUCUAUUAACACAGAAAGCAAAAUACAUUUGAAUAAUAAGGAAUGCAUCUUCAACCAGUUCAAAGUACUGCCAACAACAGUAAGAGCAAAUUGUGUUUUAUCAUGUUUUUUUGCAAUUCCACAAAAAUUACUUUAUAUCCCAGUGUAUUAAGCAAUUCCAAUGUUGUGUAAUAAGUACCUCUGAUUUUUCAAAAAGAGGAAAAAACAACCUAAAUCUAUUUUAAUUUGGAUAGGAGUACUUUAUUUUGUAAUUUCAACGAAAACCAACUGACGUGAAAUUCUCACUGAAAAAAUUUGAUCAUUAGAAACAAAACACUACAUGCUUUUGUUUUCGGGUUUUGUUUUCUCACUAAACAUUCACAGCACCAAACUGCCCUAGUUAAGAUUAUUAUUUCUAAAAUUUGAUUCAUUAUUUAUGCCCCAUUUAGGGUGACAGUGCACCUACCUAGUAGAGACUUAUUUAGCAGCUGUCUGCUACCCCAAGAGAGGCUGCUGUUCUUCUUCACCUUUCUAAAUACACACAUAAGCAGCAUUGCAGUGGAAACUGAUCCAUAAACAAUUACAGGCACUAAAAAUCAUAUGGGAAACCAAUAAGAACUUAUAUUAAGAGGAUUUGGUUAUCAACUUGGGUGUAUUUUUACAGUUCAGAUUAGCAACUUUAAAAUACAUGUACAUAGUACCAAAAAUUAUAGGAGGAUCUUCUAGAUGUAGUAACAGUAAAAAUAUUACUACACUUUGGUUGUGCUUGGGCUUUCAUCUGAGAUAUGUACUGUUUGAUAAAGAUGGUUAAGUAUUAUUUUCCUCAUUUCACACUUUAAGAACAUGAACCACAGAUAGACUGAACAAUUUCUGAAACCAUCAGAAAGAUCUUUGUACACUAGGGAAAAAAGCUCAGCAUCCACACUGGCAAACAGUGCAGACCAGAGGAAGAUUUUUAGAGCAAAAUAGUUGACAGUGAGGAUCAGAAAGCUACAUUACAAGAAAUUUUAAUUUUAAUUUUAAUUACGAAUUUAUUUUUAUUUUGGAUGAUCUUUUGUUUAACCCCACAGACCAAGUUCCUAUUUUUCUCUGAGUGCAUCAGAUGUAGUUGGUUUACUUUUAUCCAAAAUAAAUUCCAGUUUAUGCACUUGAAACAGUUUCUCAACAUAAGCAAAAGCAUAAAUAAUGGAAAGGAUCACAAGACCUACUUUAGAAGUUCCCAUCUGAUCAAGCUAAAAUUCAAAGGCAGACUCAGCCUUUGCAAUGCCAGUUGGAUAGGGCCUGAUUCAAAGCAGAGUGGAGCCAGUAGUGAGGUGAGGAUAAGGGGCAUUUGCAGAUUUGCAUAAGCUCCAGUGGAACCAUGUUUUGGGGCAAUCUUUUUUACCCCUUAGCUAUUUCUGCACAGAAAACAGCUCUUGGGUCUCCGCAGCUCUUGGGUUUGCAUUCUUGCUGAAAACACACAGAACUUGCUUCAUGCCACACACCAUAUUGUGCGUGAAAGCUAUCCACAUGACAGGCAGUCUUCCAGAGAUAACAGUAAUCUUCAGGUGAUGCCAACAAUUUUUACUGACUGACUGUGUGUGGUGCUCUGCUGAGCCCAGCCACUCAACACAGUCUGCUGAGCAACAGGAAAAAGUCUCCAGCUUUGCUAUGCUCUGUCAGCUUUCCUUACUGCUUCCAGAAAUUAGUUCUGGGGACUUUGCUGAUAAUUUACAUGAAAAGACAAUGUACUCUUCAGCGCCCUGAUACACGUAUUAGAUUGUAUUCACAUAUCGUGUUCCAUGAGAGUCCAUGCACAUCUCGAGUGUCAGGGAGUUUUCCAUGCUCACAGAAUACAGAACUCUAUGAAGGCAGCAAUGUGUAGACUUCCCAAGUUGCUUCAGUGGAUUUUCGUGCCUGUGUAAUGAAAAUGAGCACUGAGACUUGUCAUCAGAGAACUGCUGCAUCUGUGAUGCAAAUAAUAAUAAUUGUUGGAUAAUUGCUCCUUUGUUAGUUUUGCUUUAAAUAGAUAGACAAGGAGAAAAGAUAUUUAAAGGCAGAGAAAGAGAGGUGUAAAAAUACCAGAAAAAUUCAAGAAAAUUUUCUGGAAUAAUAUAGAUUUUAUAUAAAAGAUUUGAGGGAGCAGAUUAGUUUUUUUACACUUAUUUAGUUUGAGGGAUUGUCCAUCACGUGAACACAGCAUGCCCCUGUUUAGGAUUUUGGACCCAGCUAAUUUUCAUGUGUAAUGUAGACCGUGAGAACUCUGGCCCUGAGCACUGUCCCAAUAUCUUGGCAUUCCCAAAGUCUGGAGAAAUUCUAAGUGGUCUACAGAGGUUUGCACGUGAAUGCAAGGCUUUUUAUAUGGAGAUCCAUCCCAAAGCAGGUUAAGAUACAUACUUACUACAUAGACAUAGCUGUUAAAUCUAUUAAAAAAAAUAAAUCAAAGGAUACAGAAGUAUCAUUUAAAAGUUGAAGAGGAUUUAGUACCAAAUCUUUAGUCCCUUAUGCAACCAAUUGCUACCUUGUACUUCAUAAAAUAUAGUAGAGCAGUUGAACUGCGGUCACCAUAACUUGUACUUUGAAUCUACCUAAAUGUAAAAAGUAAUAAAUUACAGUGAGUGAUCCUAGCUUUUUAACUGGCAUUCCAAGUCCAUUUGCCUUUUUAAUGUAUUUUGAAAAAGAUAAAUGCCAAACACUUAAGCUGCA